GCCCCGGUAGCUCAACUGCAUAGAGCAGCCGCCUUCUAAGCGGCAGGUUGAGGGUUCGAGUCCCGCCCGGGGCG
rnacentral:tRNA from 1 species